UACGGGGGGGCAAGCGUUGUUCGGAAUUACUGGGCGUAAAGGGCUCGUAGGUGGCCAACUAAGUCAGACGUGAAAUCCCUCAGCUUAACUGGGGAACUGCGUCUGAUACUGGAUGGCUUGAGUUUGGGAGAGGGACGCGGAAUUCCAGGUGUAGCGGUGAAAUGCGUAGAUAUCUGGAGGAACACCGGUGGCGAAGGCGGCAUCCUGGACCGACACUGACGCUGAGGAGCGAAAGCCAGGGGAGCAAAGCGGG
rnacentral:rRNA from 1 species